UGAUUUUGGCAGCCGCGGCAGCUCCUUUAACAGCAGAGCUGCUCGUAGCUUCAACUAGUGAUGGCUGUUCAAAUUUCCGCCGCCACGGAUCAACCAACCAGAGAACUGAUCUUGGCAGCCGCGGCAGUUCCUUUUUACAGCAGAGUUGCUCGCAGCUUCAACAAUUGUUGGCUGUUCAAAUUUCCGCCACCGCGGAUCAACCAACCAUAAAUCAGAAGAAUAAGUUCUAUGAUAGACAUCCAUGAAUCUACGCCCAUCUGCAAUAUGUCUGAUUUGGAAAAUAACAUAUUUACAGAUAAUUCUAAAAUGCAGCAAAUGAGAGAAGAUUGAGAAAUGAUUUAUACAGAUAUAUAACAUACAUCAUUUGUGUACAAUCAAGCUUUAGAAUUAUAAGUAGUUUUGAAAAAAAUGUAAUGUUCUGCUAUAAUAAUUUGGGGAUAGGAAGUAGGAUUUAUUUACAAAACAUUACAAUCUGAGAAUACAGAGACUUAUGUUCUCUGUGGAGAAAAUUUUGAUUUUUUGAGAAGGCUUAUUUCCCCCCUCAAAUGAACUAUUGUAUACCUUUAGUCUUUUGUUUAUGAUGUUUCUUCCAUUGUUGUAACUUUAUGACUGAAAG